UACGUAGGGCGCAAGCGUUGUCCGGAAUUAUUGGGCGUAAAGAGCGUGUAGGCGGUCCGGUAAGUCGGCUGUGAAAGUCCAGGGCUCAACCCUGGGAUGCCGGUCGAUACUGCCGGACUAGAGUUCGGAAGAGGCGAGUGGAAUUCCCGGUGUAGCGGUGAAAUGCGCAGAUAUCGGGAGGAACACCUAUGGCGAAGGCAGCUCGCUGGGACGUUACUGACGCUGAGACGCGAAAGCGUGGGGAGCAAACAGG
rnacentral:rRNA from 1 species